rnacentral:lncRNA from 1 species
UUGACUAUCAAUAGCUAGUUAAAUAUUUAUUAGUGAAUACAUAAGUUGUGAGUAAUUUUCAGGUAAAUACGAAAAAAGAAUACAUAAGUUGAAAUAAUUCCAGGGAUAUUAGUUUUUCCUCUCAAAAAAUACUAAAAUUUGCCACGUGUAAAGCGCCGCCAUUAAGAGAUGCAAAUUCGGCUUAAUCGUCAGACAUGUCAUAUCCGAUUGUCCACUUUGUAUUCCACGUGGUGCUUGAAUGUUACCCAUUAAGGACAAGCCACGUGGCGUCGCGGUCGGCUGAAGCAAAGAAAUGUUGAUUCACGUGGUCCUUGGAGGAGAUCACUAAACGUCCACGUUUCGACACGUCAGCAUGCCAGCUGCAUCCAGCUACUUCCUCGCGAUCUUUGCCACGAUGAACGGGCAACUCCGUCCUCAUUCCUAGCCGUCUGAUCGCACUAUCAUCCGGCCUUUUCCUUUUUUUUUUUUUUAUUAUUUUUUUUCUUCAACAUACGAGACACAACGUGAGUCUCAUUUCUCAUUAAAUUAAUCACUUUUAAAACAUGAUCAUUAAAAAUUAAUUGACCACUUAUUUAAUAUAUAUGUGAU